AUACGGAGGGUGCAAGCGUUAUUCGGAAUCACUGGGCGUAAAGGGUGCGUAGGCGGUUUGAUAAGUCUGAUGUGAAAUCCUAUGGCUCAACCAUAGAACUGCAUUGGAAACUGUCAGACUAGAAUACUGAAGGGGCAGAUGGAAUUAGUGGUGUAGGGGUAAAAUCCGUAGAUAUCACUAGGAAUACCGAAAGCGAAAGCGAUCUGCUGGGAAGUUAUUGACGCUGAGGCACGAAAGCGUGGGGAGCAAACGGGACUAGAAACCCCAGUAGUCC
rnacentral:rRNA from 1 species